rnacentral:rRNA from 3 species
UCCGGUGGUUAUGGCGAGGAGGACACACCCGUUCCCAUCCCGAACACGGAAGUUAAGCUCCUCAGCGCCGAUGGUACUGCCCUGGCGACGGGGUGGGAGAGUAGGUCGCCGCCGGAA